UACGAAGGGGGCUAGCGUUGCUCGGAAUUACUGGGCGUAAAGCGCACGUAGGCGGCUUCUUAAGUCGGUGGUGAAAUCCUGGAGCUCAACUCCAGAACUGCCUUCGAUACUGGGAGCUCGAGUCCGGGAGAGGUGAGUGGAACUGCGAGUGUAGAGGUGAAAUUCGUAGAUAUUCGCAAGAACACCAGUGGCGAAAGGCGGCUCACUGGCCCGGUACUGACGCUGAUGCGCGAAAGCGUGGGGAGCAAACGGG
rnacentral:rRNA from 1 species